rnacentral:rRNA from 1 species
GAUGAACGCUGGCGGCGCGCCUAGCACAUGCAAGUCGAACGAUUAAAGCACCUUCGGGUGUGUAUAAAGUGGCGAACGGCUGAGUAACACGUGGGCAACCUGCCCCUCUCAUUGGGAUAGCCACGGGAAACCGUGGAUAAUACCGAAUACUUCGGGACUUCCGCAUGGAAGACUCGAGAAAGCUCCGGCGGAGAGGGAUGGGCCCGCGGCCUGUUAGCUUGUUGGUGGGGUAAUGGCCUACCAAGGCAAUGAUGGGUAGCUGGGUUGAGAGACCGACCAGCCAGAUUGGGACUGAGACACGGCCCAGACUCCUACGGGAGGCAGCAGUGGGGAAUCUUGCACAAUGGGCGAAAGCCUGAUGCAGCGACGCCGCGUGCGGGAUGAAGGCCUUCGGGUUGUAAACCGCUUUCAGCAGGGACGAGGCGAAAGUGGCGGUACCUGCAGAAGAAGCCCCGGCUAACUACGUG